CUGAAAUUUGUCGUCUCCUUUCUACUAUCAUUUCAUUUUCCUUUUGACGAUUUCACUUUCAAAACUAUCCUUGUAAAUCUUUUAUUUUCUUAUUGUUUUGAAAUUUCCUCUCUUUCAAUCUUCGUCUCCUGAGACUCCCCUAGUCUGGCUCGCUUACCCCAUCAUACCUAGUUUGAUCUUCAGCGUACUCAGGAACUCCCAUUUCCAGGUAUGUUUCUUCUCCUCUUUUUAACGUUUUUGUUGCAAGAAUGUGUGCAAGGUUGUUCGUAGAUCUUGGUGUAUGUUGAAAUCUAAAAUUAUUUAGUCCAUAUGUUUUCUGUUGGAUAUCAUAAAUGUAAGCUCCUACCAUUGAUCGGUCAUGACCCUUUGUAUUACAUUUCUUGAUUAUUGCGAGGGAAUCUCCUUCAAAAAUAAAUGACUGCCAUCCCUUCUCGACUCCUACUUGGACCGCUUUCCAGCAGGCUAUGGCUUCAGCAGCAAAAGCAGACGAUAGGUCAUUGUGAAUUUCUGAACAGGAUAAGAGAACUUUUCCUUCCGAAUCUCUGGCCACAAUACCUGAAGUUGAUCGGUCCUGGCUCUCCUUAUAUGCACCAUCAAAGUUAAUCUUGAUGACCUCCCACUGUGGAAAAGCCGACCUUGACAAGCGUUGAGCUGCUCUAUCACCCAGGGCAUUCCCAGAAUAAAUGAUUCAUAGUUUCAGCACUGUCUCCACAUUGAGGAUAACUUGUACUUAUUGCUAGCUUCCUGUGUUACAUAUUUACUUUUGUAGGCAGAUAGUUCCAUGACAGCCUCCAUAUUGUAAUCUUUACUUUUGUUGGUAGAUUCAGGCUCCAGAGUUGUUUAUAGAAUUUCCUGUAGAUGGUAAGUAAAGCAUAAGCUCUAGGAUUACCAUUCGAUCUCUAUAAUAGUUUAUAAGCACUGCGGACUGUGAAUUCACCCGACGUCUCACCUCUCCAAAUAAGAAAAUCUUCAUGCGGUGUUCGUGCCAGAGGGAUUCGAAGGAUCCUUGCGACGUCUUCUCUUGUGAAGAAUAGAUCAGAGAAGGUUUACCGUUUGCCUCCACCAUCAAACUCUUGACAAAUAGUUGAAUGAGUUCCUCUGCUAAUAGGGAGAUCUCGUCUCCCCCAAACCCAUCAUUGCCACCACUCUCCGUCAUCCCAAGCCGCAGCAGCCACUGUUUUCGCU